UGGGUAACCUGCCUCAAAGAGGGGAAUAGCCUCCCCGAAAAGGGAGAUUAAUACCGCAUAAUAUGUUUAAGUCGCAUGACUUUAACAUCAAAGGAUUUUUCUUUUAAGAAAUUCCACUUUGAGAUGGACCCCGCGGCGCAUUAGCUAGUUGGUGAGGUAACGGCUCACCAAGGCAACGAUGCGUAGCCGACCUGAGGAGGGUGAUCCGGCCACAUUGGAACUGAGACACGGCCCAGACCUCCCGUAAGGGAGG
rnacentral:rRNA from 1 species